rnacentral:rRNA from 1 species
AUACGCGAAGAACCUUACCUGGCCUUGACAUAGAAAGAAUUUAGCAGAGAUGUAAAAGUGCUAGUUUACUAGAGCUUUCAUACAGAUGCUGCACGGCUGUCGUCAGCUCGUGUCGUGAGAUGUUAGGUUAAGUCCUGCAACGAGCGCAACCCUCGUGUUUAGUUACUAACAGAUUAUGCUGAGGACUCUAGACAUACUACCUGGGCAACCAGGAGGAAGGUGAGGACGACGUCAAGUCAUCAUGGCCCUUACGGCCAGGGCUACACACGUGCUACAAUGGGGUAUACAAAGAGCAGCGAUACCGCGAGGUGGAGCAAAUCUCAUAAAAUAUCUCCCAGUUCGGAUUACACUCUGCAACUCGAGUGUAUGAAGUUGGAAUCGCUAGUAAUCGUAGAUCAGCAAACUACGGUGAAUACGUUCCCGGGUCUUGUACUCACCGCCCG